AAAUAGUAUUUUUAAAUGAUUAACAGAAUUAAAGCAUAAUGAAGUGUAUGUAGCAAUGUAUUUUAUUGCAAAUCUCAAGUAUUUGCAGUGUUAAAAAAUAGUAAAUUUCUAUAAGUUGUCAAAACUACGAUAGUUGCUGCAAACCACGGGAAGUCAACAAACAAUUAAUAAUGUUCAUAAAUAAAGUUAUAAAUAAAAUUUCAUAAUUAUUGA